rfam:Pteropus vampyrus cont1.127592, whole genome shotgun sequence.
AAGGACCAAACGACAGGCUCCCAGAUUCCUAAGCCCCAAUAAGAGGACCACCCAGGUAGCACUGAAGGCUGAGUUCACCAAGGCGAGUGCAUCCUCGGGCUCAGGACAGGAGCCCGUCUCUGGGCUGGCAGAG